CCUUUUCUUGCUCCUCCCGCCUAUAUACCGCCGUCUCCAGUCUACCCUGUAAAGGACCCAUAGUAGGCGAAAUUGGUACAGCCCCAGACGACAGGUCGAGGUGUAGCGUAUGAAAAGGGAAGAGAUGGGCUACAUUCAGUGAAGCACUGAAUACGGAGAGCUAAUUGAAAUAUUAACUUGAAGGAGGAUUUAGCAGUAAGCGGGGAAUAGAGAGCCCCACUGAAAUCGGCCCUGAAGCGUGUACACACCGCCCGUCACUCUCCCCGAGCAGAGAAACUCUUUACCUAAAAAGCCAAAGAAUGUAAAGGGGAGGCAAGUCGUAACAUGGUAAGUGUACCGGAAGGUGCACUUGGCUAAAAAUAU
rnacentral:rRNA from 1 species